rnacentral:rRNA from 1 species
AACGAACGCUGGCGGCGUGCCUAACACAUGCAAGUCGAACGAGAAAGGGAUUUCGGUCCCGAGUAAAGUGGCGCACGGGUGAGUAACACGUAGGUAACCUACCUCUAAGUUUGGGAUAACCUGUCGAAAGAUGAGCUAAUACUGAAUAAGACCACAGUUUCCUCGGAAGCAGGGGUCAAAGGUAGCCUCUAUUUAUAAGCUAUCACUUAGAGAUGGGCCUGCGUACCAUUAGCUAGNGGUGAGGUAACGGCUCACCAAGGCAAAGAUGGUUAGCUGGUCUGAGAGGAUGAUCAGCCACACUGGAACUGAGACACGGUCCAGACUCCUACGGGAGGCAGCAGUGGGAAUAUUGCGCAAUGGGCGAAAGCCUGACGCAGCAACGCCGCGUGAGUGAUGAAGGCCUU